UGGGCACAGUUGAGUGAAGACGCAACAUCAUGUGUGGUGAAUCCACAAGUUUAUGCUUUUGUAAGACGUAGAAGGAAGUAAUAUGAUUACACUUGAGCAAUCCAUUUAUGCUUAAAGAUUGACAUGCUGUUAAAAUCUUUUUGUAAGAAGCCCACGGAGAAACUGUGCAAUAUGGGCCUGCAAGCAACAAGGUCAAUUUCAUGUAUCUCUUAUAUCAAAUCCGAAUAAAUAUUGUUAUAAUUC